CCUGUUGGCUCAUGGGACUCCCGAAGCAGCGGACAAGCACCGACAGGCUAAGCAGUGUGUGGCUUUGGCGGUUGCACAGGCAAGAACUCAGACAUGGAAGGAGUUCAGAGAAGACGCUGUGCACUGCCAACAACGUGUAAGGUGGGGAUGGUGUGCUGCUGACGUCGAUUGGGGCUGUGGAAAGAAUACUUUGAAGACCUUUUCAAUCCCACCUACACAUCUUCCAAUGAGGACGCAGUAUCUGCGGAAUCUAUGCAGACUUGGUAGGAGUUGUGGUAUUGGACUGUCGCUGUCACGAUCACUGGAACAAUGUCAGAGCUUGGUCUGUUGGAGCAGUCCACGGUGGACGGCGUGGCCUUCAUAGAGAUGUGUUCAGGCAGAGGUGCAACUCCAAGCUGGAGUUCACUUUCACAACACUGCCGUCACGGAGCUCAAAGCAGCCGUUUGAUCCAAACAUUUUCCAGCUGGCGCCACUCGACAUCUCCUCAAACGUGCACUUGAGCUUCAGAGCGGACAUGUACGGCACCAACGCUUCUGCUGAUUCUAAGGUGACCAUACCUGUGUGGAAAUAGAUUUUCAAUCAGGAUGAAUAAAAAUCGCGAUAUCAA